CACUUUCAAGAGAGUUGACAGUGACAGAUACACUUUCAUUGUCUCACAUUGUCCUGUUUAUGAACUAUACUGAUCCGACAGUGGACAUGAUGACACCUGUGACACUUUGUGUUCUGCUGUUUGUGGGAACUGUUACCGGGGACGAUCCUACAGCACAGAUGGAUCGAUACAGAGACAGGACGACUCUCAACCAUGAAGAGCUGAGCAGAGGAAUCGUGACCCUGCUGAUCUCCUCAGUACAACUGUCUGACAGCGGGCUGUACAAAUGCUACAUCCCAAAGCUGAAGGUUGGUUGUACCAUCAAACUCACUGUCGUAGAAGAAGACCAACAGACCACAACUGGACCUCCAGAGGAAGACGUGACUGAGCCAAACAAUGCCAAUGUUGGGAACAGGUUUGCGGCUCGUGCUUGUAUCAUUACUGCUGCUGUUGUUACUCUCUACGUUCUCGUUGUUCUGGUUCUGUGAAAGUUGGGAAAGAUCCAGAAUUGUAUGAAGAGGCUCAGAGGGAGGACGGAGCAAAGUCUGGAGACGGUUUCUGACGGAUGUGAAAGGAGAAUAAUGUCAGUGUGAUGUUUUUACCGGAUGGUGCAGCUCUAGUGUUAGAGCCAUGGAGAACAUGAGGCUUAUGUUUGCAUUUUGUGCCUAAUUAGUUAAUAUCUAUUUUGCUUUAACUUAUAAGGAUGAAUCAUAACUGAUAUUUUGUUUAAUCUUAAUGUAAUUAAUGUCUAUUCAGUAGAUAAGGCUUUGUUAUGCUCUUAUUUUGUCCUGCUACUACAAACCGAUACUGCCUUAAAGCCAUGUGGGCACCUGUCGGCAUUGUGACUUUGAUACCCAGGAUUUUGCUUAGCAUUUUUUUUUUUACAUCGGCCUCGUUUCCUUCUUGGAUUUGCUUUGGAGUUUAUUGCCUUACGACAAGCACGAGUACAGAAACUUUAUGUCCUGCAAGAGUGGCGAAUAGGUUGCCACUUCGUCUAGUUUUUGGUUCACUGAACUAACUUUUGUCCUUUUUAUAAACAACAAAAAACAGCUUCUCUGUAUAACGCCAGUUCCAACAUUCACCACAAACAUCCUCCAAUAUGAUCACACAGCUGAAUCAGUUUCAAAGGGAACCCUUUGACCUCUGACCUCAAGAUGAAUGAAUGUAAACGGGUUCUACGGGUACCAACGAGUCUCCCAUUGGCAGACGCUGUAUGAGUCUGUUUCCAGGUGGUAUAAAAGUUAUUUUCAGCCUGGUGUAUCUGAAUAUUUCUGCAUACUGGGAUCAAUAAUCAAUACUGGAAUUGUGUUUAUUGUGAGUGACUGAGAGCUGAGUCAGCGUCUCUGAUUCAACUUCAACAACUCUUCAAUGUAUUUUAUAUUUUAUACUGUAUUUACUUCCUGUUGCACUCGUACUGACUUCAGAUCCAUUAAACAU